AGAUUAUUAAGGCGGAUGCUCUCAGUCCCCAUCCAGCAAAUUUGAGCCCAUAGCCGAGUCGCACCAGGGAAUUCUUCCCGUCCAUGGCCAUGAGGGUCGACUCGGCAAUCCUCGCCGUCGUCGUCGCCUUCCUCCUCCCCCUCCGCCUGCUCUCCCUCUGCGCCCGCCUGAACUCCUCCGGUAGCGCAGGCGACCUCCGCCGAUCCUGCUCCGCCCUCGCCAUCGCGGCCGCGCUCCUAGCCACCUUCUUCGCCCUACCCCGCCACGACGGCGGUCGCACGGGGCAGUGCGCCGCCUCCGUUGGUUCCCCUUGGGAGGAGGGCACCGGUCGAGAGGUUCGGUUGGAGAUCGAGCAGCUGAAGCUGCAGCUCUACCGAUUGGAAUCAUUGUGGGAAAACAAAUCAAAAGCACCAGAUGACAAAGGUGAUGCUUCAGAGGAAGAUGCCGAGUUUGUGAAAGCGAUGGGACUGGACAUUCAGGCUCUGAUCAAGGAACAGGAAAACAUUAAGGAAUCAUUAUGGAGUUCUGGCGGCACUAUCAAAUCUGUCGAAAAUGAGGUACGAAUUCUGGCGGCAGAAUCCAGAAAGAUGAACUCUGAUAUUUACAAUGUGUGGUCAUUGGCCAACGAUACGGAGAAAACGGUUGAAGCUCUACAUUCAGAUGUCCAAAAGGCUCAAAUUAUAAUGGAUGAAUCAAGGAAGAUGAACUCUAAUGCUCACCAGAUAUGGUCAUUGGCAAAGGAUACAGCAAAAAAGGUCGAAUCUCUGUAUACAGAUGUUGCAAAGUUGCCACAUAGUUAUCUUGCUAGAAGGUUUUAUUUGGAACUAUUCAUGGGUAUUAUACAGUACAUGGACUUGCAUGUGGUUAGACUGCGGAGAACUAGAAUUUGCAACUAAUUGUGGGUGCAGGUUCAAAGUGUAAUUGAUAUAUCAAAAAAGAUGGAAUCUAAUAUACACAAAGCAUGGUCUUAUGCAAAGCAGACAGAGAAGAGGGUUGAAGAUAUAUGUUCAGAUGUCAAAAAGGGCUUCAAGAAGAAGGCCUGGAUGAGCUGAUAGCGCCGUCGACUUGACAGGCUAGCAUUGGCCUGGGCCUGGAGUAAUGUACUCCCUCCGUCCCAAAAUUCUUGUCUUAGAUUUGUUUAAAUACGGAUGUAUCAAAUCACGUUUUAGUAUUUUAGAUAUAUCCGUAUCUAGAUGAAUCUAAGACAAGAAUUUUAGGACGGAGGGAGUAGUAGAGAAGCCACCCGGCCUUGCAUCUGCGAACCUGUAAUGCCCCUUGAUAUUGUAUGACACGUUUACGGUUGUGUCGUGCGCGUUGUGGACACGAUCAUGCUGUGUUUCGGAUCUGACUCACUCGCUUCCUGUUUCUGUGCCGUCAUGGUAAUGUAUAUAUUGAUGAUGUGCAGCGGUAAUGCAAUAACAUGCGACUUUCAGGACUC